GUGCAGCAGGCGCGAAAACUUCACACUGUGCGAAAGCACGAUGAGGGAAUCCCAAGUGCUUGCACGUAAGUGUAAGCUGUUUCUCUGUCUAAAACGCAGAGAGAGUAAGGGCUGGGUAAGACGGGUGCCAGCCGCCGCGGUAAUACCUGCAGCUCAAGUGGUGACCGUUAUUAUUGGGCCUAAAACGUCCGUAGCCGGUUUAAUAAAUGCCUGGGUAAAUUGUGUAGCUUAACUAUACGAAUUCCGGGUAGACUGUUAAACUUGAGACCGGGAGAAGUUAGAGGUACUCCUGGGGUAGAGGUGAAAUUCUGUAAUCCUAGGGGACCACCAGUGGCGAAGGCGUCUAACUAGAACGGGUCUGACGGUGAGGGACGAAGCCCUGGGGCGCAAACGGGAUUAGA
rnacentral:rRNA from 1 species